CUACGGGUUGCACCAGUGAGGAAUAUUGCACAAUGGGGGGAACCCUGAUGCAGCAACGCCGCGUGGAGGAUGACGCAUUUCGGUGUGUAAACUCCUUUUAUAUGUCAAGAAGAUGACGGUAGCAUAUGAAUAAGCACCGGCUAACUCCGUGCCAGCAGCCGCGGUAAUACGGAGGGUGCAAGCGUUACUCGGAAUCACUGGGCGUAAAGGACGCGUAGGCGGGUUGAAAAGUCAGGUGUGAAAGCCUACAGCUUAACUGUAGAACUGCACUUGAAACUCUCAAUCUAGAGUAUGGGAGGGGCAGAUGGAAUUAGUGGUGUAGGGGUAAAAUCCGUAGAUAUCACUAGGAAUACCUAAAGCGAAGGCGAUCUGCUGGAACAUUACUGACGCUAAGGCGUGAAAGCGUGGGGAGCAAACAGGAUUAGAUACCCCUGUAGUC
rnacentral:rRNA from 1 species